rnacentral:rRNA from 1 species
GCAAGCGUUAAUCGGAAUUACUGGGCGUAAAGCGCACGCAGGCGGUCUGUCAAGUCGGAUGUGAAAUCCCCGGGCUCAACCUGGGAACUGCAUUCGAAACUGGCAGGCUAGAGUCUUGUAGAGGGGGGUAGAAUUCCAGGGGUAGCGGUGAAAUGCGUAGAGAUCUGGAGGAAUACCGGUGGCGAAGGCGGCCCCCUGGACAAAGACUGACGCUCAGGUGCGAAAGCGUGGGGAGCAAACAGGAUUAGAUACCCUGGUAGUCCACGCUGUAAACGAUGUCGAUUUGGAGGUUGUGCCCUUGAGGCGUGGCUUCCGGAGCUAACGCGUUAAAUCGACCGCCUGGGGAGUACGGCCGCAAGGUUAAAACUCAAAUGAAUUGACGGGGGCCCGCACAAGCGGUGGAGCAUGUGGUUUAAUUCGAUGCAACGCGAAGAACCUUACCUGGUCUUGACAUCCACAGAACUUUCCAGAGAUGGAUUGGUGCCUUCGGGAACUGUGAGACAGGUGCUGCAUGGCUGUCGUCAGCUCGUGUUGUGAAAUGUUGGGUUAAGUCCCGCAACGAGCGCAACCCUUAUCCUUUGUUGCCAGCGGUCCGGCCGGGAACUCAAAGGAGACUGCCAGUGAU